ACUUGAUGAUGAACAUAGUAUAAAUGACAAGCAUAUGCCUGAAGUAUGGUGAUGUCAUCUUACUACUGAGACGU